rnacentral:rRNA from 1 species
UACGGGGGAGGCAAGCGUUAUCCGGAAUCACUGGGCGUAAAGCGUCUGAAGGUGGAGAUGCAAGUCACUGGUGCAAAACUCUGGCUCAACCGGAGGAAAGCCAGUGAAACUGCAUGACUAGAGUGUGGGAGAGGUAGAAGGAAUUCCCUGAGUAGCGGUGAAAUGCGUAGAUACAGGGAAGAACGCCGGAGGCGAAAGCGUUCUACUGGAACACAACUGACACUGAGAGACGAAAGCUAGGGGAGCGAAUGGG